AACGAACGCUGGCGGCAGGCUUAACACAUGCAAGUCGAGCGCCUCGCAAGAGGAGCGGCAGACGGGUGAGUAACGCGUGGGAACGUACCCUUAUCUUCGGAAUAGCUCUGGGAAACUGGAAGUAAUACCGAAUGUGCCCUUAGGGGGAAAGAUUUAUCGGAUAAGGAUCGGCCCGCGUUGGAUUAGCUAGUUGGUGGGGUAAAGGCCUACCAAGGCGACGGUCCAUAGCUGGUCUGAGAGGAUGAUCAGCCACAUUGGGACUGAGACACGGCCCAAACUCCUACGGGAGGCAGCAGUGGGGAAUAUUGGACAAUGGGCGCAAGCCUGAUCCAGCCAUGCCGCGUGAGUGAUGAAGGCCUUAGGGUUGUAAAGCUCUUUCACCGGAGAAGAUAAUGACGGUAUCCGGAGAAGAAGCCCCGGCUAACUUCGUG
rnacentral:rRNA from 1 species